ACUCCUACGGGAGGCUGCAGUGGGGAAUCUUCCGCAAUGGGCGAAAGCCUGACGGAGCAACGCCGCGUGAGUGACGAAGGCCCUUGGGUCGUAAAACUCUGUCUUCAGGGAAGAAAAAAAUGACGGUACCUGAGGAGGAAGCCCCGGCUAACUACGUGCCAGCAGCCGCGGUAAAACGUAGGGGGCGAGCGUUGUCCGGAAUUACUGGGCGUAAAGGGCGUGUAGGCGGUUCGCGAAGUCAGGAGUGAAAACUCGGGGCUCAACCUCGAGAUUGCUUUUGAAACCAGCGGGCUUGAGUGCAGGAGAGGAAAGUGGAAUUCCCAGUGUAGCGGUGAAAUGCGUAGAUAUUGGGAGGAACACCAGUGGCGAAAGCGGCUUUCUGGCCUGUAACUGACGCUGAGGCGCGAAAGCGUGGGGAGCAGACAGGAUUAGAUACCCUGGUAGUCCACGCCGUAAACGAUGGGUGCUAAGUGUUGGGGGUAUCGACCCCCUCAGUGCUGUAGUUAACGCAAUAAGCACCCCGCCUGGGGAGUACGGUCGCAAGACUGAAACUCAAGGA
rnacentral:rRNA from 1 species